UAAAGAGGUCUCAAGCGUUGUUCGGAUUCAUUGGGCGUAAAGGGUGCGUAGGCGGCGCGGUAAGUCGGGUGUGAAAUCUCGGGGCUUAACUCCGAAACUGCAUUCGAUACUGCCGUGCUUGAGGACUGGAGAGGAGACUGGAAUUUACGGUGUAGCGGUGAAAUGCGUAGAUAUCGGGAGGAACACCAGUGGCGAAGGCGACUUCCUGGCCUGUUCUUGACGCUGAGGCGCGAAAGCUAGGGGAGCAAACGGG
rnacentral:rRNA from 1 species